AGUUUUAUUCUUGCUAAUUUAUUUGCUUUUAAUUUAUUUUAUAUGUAAGUUCUUGCUUGAUUUAAAUUAUUUUAUCUAAAUGAUUUUUUAUUUUUGUUUAAUUCGCAGUAAUAAGUAUUAUAAAUUUAUGGGAAUUUGAUUUAGUAAUUUUGAUUUAUUAUUGGUAAAAUUUGUGCCAGCAUCCGCGGUUAUACAAUGAAUAUAAGUAAAUAUUUUUGGUUAAAGUAGUUAAAGUUUUAUAUUUGAGUUAUUAUUUUGUUUUUGGGUGAAAUUUUAAUUAUUAUUAUAACUCUUUUUUUUUGAGGCUAUUAGAUCUUUAAUUUGAAACUAGGAUUAGAUACCCUAUUAUUUUGGAUAUAAAUUAUUUUUAACCUAGGUAGUAUUAGUUAUGAUCUUGAAACUUAAAGAAUUUGGCGGUAUUUUAGUCUAUUUAGAGGAAUCUGUUCCUUAAUCGAUAGUCCGCGUUUUACCUUACCAAGUUUAAUUUUGUAUGUAUACCGCCGUUAUAAUGAAUAUCUUUUUAGAGUUUAAUUAAUUUUCUUGAUUUAUUUUUAAAAAUUAUUUCAGGUCAAGGUGCAGCUUAUAAUUUGGUGGAGAUGGAUUACAUUUAUAUUUAUUAUUGAAUUAUUGGUUGAAAUUCUGGUAUGAAAUUGGAUUUAAUUGUAAUUUUUUGUAGUUUGUAGAAUUGAUUUUAGCUCUAUAAUAUGUACACAUCGCCCGUCGCUCUCAUUAUUUAAUUGAAUUGAGAUAAGUCGUAACAUAGUGGUUGUACCGGAAGGUGUAGCUAGAAUGAAUAAUAAUAUA
rnacentral:ncRNA from 1 species